UAUAAUUAAGUCUGACUCUUGUUGCCAGUUAACACUGAGGAGCGGCAUAUUGUCUGAGUGGGAUUCGUCCAUGUGUUCAACAGUGUGGGGUGAACGAGCAGCUGGUGAGUCCGUCGGUGCGCGAGCUCAACAGAAACACCUGCCUGGAGUGCUGGCACCUUGACUUGCAGCUCUGUCCGGUAGUCCAUGUGCCGGCCUGAAAACAGGAGGCGGCACAGGAGGAGGGGCCCCUUCGCCAGGAGAUCCGGCUCUGGCAGAGGACCUCGGAGGCUGAAGGAGGGUGUACACGUUCUCUGUGGCUGUCCUGACAGUGGGAAGAACUGACGAUUGUGACACCCAUCUCCAUAAAUAUCUGCUUCGGACUCCUGGGGCCCCUGACUGGACAGAGUUUGGUUGCGGUUCUUACGGAACCCGAAGAUGGCCAGCAUGUUUCUCCUCUUCUUCCGCCUCAGGGAGUGGGCUUUGUGCAGAGACGAGAGCUGACUGCAAGAGGGCAGUCCGGAUGGCAGAGCGAGGGAUGGACACGCGCUCGGAGACGGAUGAGAGCGGAGGACUCAAUCUCUCUGCCGCAGCAGAAGAUAAAGGACAGAGCUCGCGGCAGAGAGACACCAUGGAGUCGACGAUCACCUGCAAUGGGACGCUGGUUGUCAGUAACUCACACAUCUGUCGUCUGGAUCACGGUUGUGAAAAGAAGCCGUUAGAUCUACCUGGAGCUCCUUAUCUGCAGCUUUGGCAAGUUCACCAGCCAGGGAGUCCAGUCGCUGCCGCACCGGCCCGUCCACAGACAGCACGUGAGCCAGCUCACACAGCGAAGGGUAGAGCUGGGAGCACCAGAGAGCAGAGGACUCAUUCAAAUUCAGUGCAACGGCAAAAGGAAAAUACCACACUUGUGCAUUUUCACAUCACUCACGGCGCGGGAAUUCCUGGCCUCUUUUAGCACUUGUUUAGCAGCGUGAAUCUCCUCCAGCUCCCCGACACCUCGUAGCACACACACCUGCUGCUGUACGCGCACACAGAGGCGCUCCAUCACCUUGGAAACAGACAGACAGGCGAGUGUUCUGAGUGCAAACACACACGAAACACUGGAUGAACGUACGCAGGGGUGAGCGCACACAGACUAGUGCUACCUGCUCGGCAGUGCUCGUAACCAGGCCUUGGUGCAGCCGCAGAGCCUGUCGCUGGGAGAAGCGCUGGGUCUGGUUGUUCCUCACCAGAGCGCGCUGGAUCUGUGCACAAGAGAGCCACGAAUGUAAACUGGCCACAAAAACACGAGACAAACAGGAAAAAAUUGUAUCGUAGCAAGAAAAUAAAUCCAUCUAAGAAACCCUCUGCAGUUGAAAAUGUCCCCCAAAUGUUCUUAGAAAGGAGAAGAUUAAAAGGUACCGCCUUCAAAAAAGUUUAAAAAGACUAAUAUACGCCUUGAACUUUCUUUAUUUUACUCCGACCC